rnacentral:tRNA from 1 species
GCGGGAUUAGCAUAGUGGUAAUGCUCUAGCUUCCCAAGCUAGCUACGAGGGUUCGAUUCCCUCAUCCCGCU